CUACGGGAGGCAGCAGUGGGGAAUAUUGCACAAUGGGCGAAAGCCUGAUGCAGCGACGCCGCGUGAGGGAUGACGGCCUUCGGGUUGUAAACCUCUUUCAGCAGGGAAGAAGCGAAAGUGACGGUACCUGCGGAAGAAGCGCCGGCUAACUACGUGCCAGCAGCCGCGGUAAUACGUAGGGCGCAAGCGUUGUCCGGAAUUAUUGGGCGUAAAGAGCUCGUAGGCGGCUUGUCACGUCGGGUGUGAAAGCCCGGGGCUUAACCCCGGGUCUGCAUUCGAUACGGGCUAGCUAGAGUGUGGUAGGGGAGAUCGGAAUUCCUGGUGUAGCGGUGAAAUGCGCAGAUAUCAGGAGGAACACCGGUGGCGAAGGCGGAUCUCUGGGCCAUUACUGACGCUGAGGAGCGAAAGCGUGGGGAGCGAACAGGAUUAGAUACCCUGGUAGUCCACGCCGUAAACGGUGGGAACUAGGUGUUGGCGACAUUCCACGUCGUCGGUGCCGCAGCUAACGCAUUAAGUUCCCCGCCUGGGGAGUACGGCCGCAAGGCUAAAACUCAAAGGAAUUGACGG
rnacentral:rRNA from 1 species